rnacentral:rRNA from 1 species
UACAGAGGUCCCGAGCGUUGUUCGGAUUCACUGGGCGUAAAGGGUGCGUAGGUGGUGAGGUAAGUCGGAUGUGAAAUCUCCGGCUCAACCCGGAAAUGGCAUUGGAAACUACCUUGCUGGAGGAUUUGAGGGGGAUUGGAAUACUUGGUGUAGCAGUGAAAUGCGUAGAUAUCAAGUGGAACACCAGUGGCGAAGGCGAAUCCCUGGAAAAUACCUGACACUGAGGCACGAAAGCUAGGGAGCAAACAGG